GAUGAACGCUGGCGGCGUGCCUAAUACAUGCAAGUCGAGCGAACGGACGAGAAGCUUGCUUCUCUGAUGUUAGCGGCGGCCGGGUGAGUAACACGUGGAUAACCUACCUAUAAGACUGGGAUAACUUCGGGAAACCGGAGCUAAUACCGGAUGAUAUUUUGAACCGCAUGGUUCAAAAGUGAAAGACGGUCUUGCUGUCACUUAUAGAUGGAUCCGCGCUGCAUUAGCUAGUUGGUAAGGUAACGGCUUACCAAGGCAACGAUGCAUAGCCGACCUGAGAGGGUGAUCGGCCACACUGGAACUGAGACACGGUCCAGACUCCUACGGGAGGCAGCAGUAGGGAAUCUUCCGCAAUGGGCGAAAGCCUGACGGAGCAACGCCGCGUGAGUGAUGAAGGUCUUCGGAUCGUAAAACUCUGUUAUUAGGGAAGAACAUAUGUGUAAGUAACUGUGCACAUCUUGACGGUACCUAAUCAGAAAGCCACGGCUAACUACGUG
rnacentral:rRNA from 1 species